rnacentral:rRNA from 1 species
GGGUGAGUAACGCGUAUGCAACCUGCCCGUUUCAGCGGGAUAACCCGGAGAAAUCCGGCCUAAUACCGCAUGUGGCCGAGGGGAGGCAUCUUCUUUCGGCCAAAGGAGGCGACUCCGGAGACGGAUGGGCAUGCGUGACAUUAGCUUGUUGGCGGGGUGACGGCCCACCAAGGCGACGAUGUCUAGGGGUUCUGAGAGGAAGGUCCCCCACACUGGUACUGAGACACGGACCAGACUCCUACGGGAGGCAGCAGUGAGGAAUAUUGGUCAAUGGGCGAGAGCCUGAACCAGCCAAGUCGCGUGAAGGAUGACGGCCCUACGGGUUGUAAACUUCUUUUGUCAGGGAGCAAUUGAGUCCACGUGUGGGUUAGCGAGAGUACCUGAAGAAAAAGCAUCGGCUAACUCCGUGCCAGCAGCCGCGGUAAUACGGAGGAUGCGAGCGUUAUCCGGAUUUAUUGGGUUUAAAGGGUGCGUAGGCGGAAUAUCAAGUCAGCGGUAAAAAUUCGGGGCUCAACCCCGUCGUGCCGUUGAAACUGAUGUUCUUGAGUGGGCGAGAAGUAUGCGGAAUGCGUGGUGUAGCGGUGAAAUGCAUAGAUAUCACGCAGAACUCCGAUUGCGAAGGCAGCAUACCGGCGCCCAACUGACGCUGAAGCACGAAAGCGUGGGUAUCGAACAGGAUUAGAUACCCUGGUAGUCCACGCAGUAAACGAUG